UACAGAGGGUGCGAGCGUUCAUCGGAAUUACUGGGCGUAAAGCGUGCGUAGACGGUUAUUUAAGUCGGAUGUGAAAGCCCCGGGCUCAACCUGGGAAUUGCAUUCGAGACUGAAUAGCUAGGGUGCGGUAGAGGGAAGCGGAAUUUCCGGUGUAGCGGUGAAAUGCGUAGAUAUCGGAAGGAACAUCAGUGGCGAAAGCGGCUUCCUGGACCAGCACCGACGUUCAGGCACGAAAGCGUGGGGAGCAAACAGG
rnacentral:rRNA from 1 species